rnacentral:rRNA from 1 species
AUUGAACGCUGGCGGCAGGCCUAACACAUGCAAGUCGAACGAGUGGCGGACGGGUGAGUAAUGUCUGGGAAACUGCCCGAUGGAGGGGGAUAACUACUGGAAACGGUAGCUAAUACCGCAUACCAUCGGAUGUGCCCAGAUGGGAUUAGCUAGUAGGUGGGGUAACGGCUCACCUAGGCGACGAUCCCUAGCUGGUCUGAGAGGAUGACCAGCCACACUGGAACUGAGACACGGCCCAGAAGCCUACGGGAGGCAGCAGUGGGGAAUAUUGCGCAAUGGACGCAAGCCUGAUGCAGCCAUGCCGCGUGAAUGAAGAAGGCCUUCGGGUUGUAAAGUUCUGUCGUCAGGGAGGCGUUACUCGCAGAAGAAGCAACGGCUAACUACGUGCCAGCAGCCGCGGUAAUAC